UUAACAUGAAAGUCUGUGUGACUCUUCGUCUCCUCUCUUGUGUGUCUGUCUCCAGGAGCAGGACACAAGGGCCCAUCGGUCCCGGCAAGUAUGGCUACGGCAAGGCCCCGUACAUCUUACCCCUGCAGACGGACACCACACACACGCCACAGAGGCUUCGAAGACAGAGGCCCUCAUCCCGGCCGUCCAGGUCCCAGGGGACAUCUGCUACCAGACAUGGCUACAACCUGCCAGGGCCUCUGUACCAAAGUGAAAAUGGCCCUCGUUCUGGACAUCAGGCCUCAGAGGCCUCCAUUUACCAGCUGCCUUUGACUCAGGACCAAGGCUUCUCUGCAGCUUCCAGUCUCUUCCACAGCCCAGAAACAAGUAGCCGUGGUGUGGGGGCCCAUAGGACAGACCGGAGCUUCUCGCAGCCCCUGCGAUCUGCAGCUAUCUCAUGCAUCGGGGCCUAUCGGCAGUACAAGCUCUGCAACACCAACGCAUGCCCAGAAAGCAGUAGGAGUAUCCGCGAGGUGCAGUGUGCCUCCUACAACAACAAGCCGUUCAUGGGCCGGUUUUACGAGUGGGAACCGUUUGCAGAAGUAAAGGGCAAUCACAAGUGUGAGCUGAACUGCCAGGCAAUGGGCUACCGCUUCUAUGUGCGGCAAGCUGAGAAGGUUAUUGACGGCACCCCCUGUGACCAAAACGGCACAGCCAUCUGCGUGUCAGGACAGUGCAAGAUUAUCUCAAGGAACUAAUGAUCCCCACGCCUCUGGAAAAUGACAUCGCUCUGUGGCUCCCCAUCCUCUGAAGAAGGAAUGUAAACAAGGGCAGAAAGAUGACGUGGAGGAACAUUGAUGCAGUGGCCCACCAAAAGCCAGGUUUGCUUCCUGAGUCCCCACACCAGCCUCAAGAGAGCCACAGGGACUGACCGCAGCAACUGGCAUUGGCUGAAGCCACUCUUGGGUAUGCACAGGAACUCCUUGAUUUUUAAGAAUCUGUGCAACUGUCCGGUGGUUUGGUUUCUUCAUUCUCCAGUGUCUUCUUGACAGCAGAAGUUGCUGUAGAGGGGGUGGUUAACAGGUUUCAAUCUGGGGCUGGAGAUUUAGCUCAGCGGCAAAGCGCCUGCCUGGCAAGCGCAAGGUCGUGAGUUCGGUUCCCGGUACCGGAGAAAAACAAAAAAAAACAAGUUUCAAUCAGCGUGCCGCUGGGAGCCCCUGCAUGGCGAACUCUCACGCAGCGUGGAGAGAAUGCUUAGCUGCAGGACGGCUAAGCAGGGAAGAGUGCUGGGAACGGCUGGCAGCAGAGCCGAGGAGGAUGGGGAUGAGCUAAGACCCUUCCGGGAUAUGGCAUAUCCCACCCCUCCUCUGCCCCCUCCGUGUAGCCCCUCAAUGGCCACAGUAAUUUUAGACCCUCCAGACAUUAGCUCUCCCUGCCUCACUUAUGUGAAAAAUAGUCAUUACCUGUUACGGAAAUACAGACAUCAGUUCUGCAAGGAAUAAUGAAAGUGGCUUAGACUUCCUGAGUACUUCCUAGGCACCAGGCCCCAUGGUCAGUGCACUACAUGUAAACUCUCAUUUAAUUUUCAACACAGCCACAAGAGCUAGGUAGUCUUAGUCAUCUGACUGUAUGCCUGGUAUAAGAAGCAUGAGGUGCAGAGAGAUUCAAGUAGCUGCCCAAGGAAGCAGGGCAAAGGCGUGGCAUAACCAAGGUUUUGACUUCAGGCAAUCAAAUGUUAAAACUGACAUAAGUGCAGAUUUAGGUACAGGUGCUUUGGAUUAGAACAUUGGUAAGACUCACGAGUGAAAUGUCCAGAAGGCAGUGGAGAACAUGCAGACCAGGGUGAGGUCAGGCCAUUUGGGCCCAAAGACAGCAGAGAAGAUGGGUGAAUAAGAUAAAUGAAUAAGAUAAGGUGAAUGGGUAAGUUUAUGCAAACCGUGAGGCCAAGAGUCAGGUAUAGAUUUGCAGUGCAGAAAGAACUUCAUGCAAAGUUGUUAGGUUUUAAGGGAGGUUCCCCAAAUAUGGAAUUGGAAAUAACUGACUACUACCAGUGUUAUCCCGGUCCGUGGCUGGAACAUUCCAGCUGUAAGGAAACAGGCCCAGAUGCAGAAGUUUAUAUCCUAAAUCAUCUGAAAAAAGACAGAGUCCCUUGGGGGUUUGGAAGUGCAGUGGGAAACCGUGGUCCUUGAUCAAGGGCUAGGGAGAGAGACUGAUGGCGCUGUAGUAUUGCCAUAGCAACCGUAGCUACAGCCUCACCAGAUCCCCACUCCCUGUAGAUCUUGAGUCCCCCCAAGAGCAGGCCUGUGUGUCCCUUACCAGAGUCUUCUAGCACCUGACACACUGCAGAAACCCAGUAAAUCGACUGCGCCAAGGAAAUAAGAGCCAGCCUGGUCCGCUCUUGGGUCUGUUCCCCAACAUUAAAGUGUUUUUACUGACCCAUCACUAUUUCAUGGAAAUGUCUGAACUUUCUCCCCAUAGGCCGGGACAACUACGCGAUAAAUCGCUGCUCACUUGCACCAAGUUCCAUUUUGUUCUGAUUCAUUGCCCGCUUCAGAGUCCUUUUAAAAUUUCAGUUUAUGGACUUUACUUCCUGGUGGUUCCCAGAGAGAAAUGAGCCUGGAUUCCAGGGAAUGCAAAUGUCUUCAAACUUGCAGCCAGCUUCUAGGCUCCCUGCAAAGGUCCCUUAAGCCUCUAAGUAUUUCCUCUCGUAAAUCACACAUCACUGGCACAGGCAGAACGUUUUCCUGUGCGACUUCUUUCUUGUGAAGAGACAGUCCCUUAAAGGUCUACCAAGUAGACAGAAAUGCAGUCGUUCGUGGCAGUUUUAUUGUGCUCUCCUUGUCUAUAGUUUAG
rnacentral:lncRNA from 1 species